rnacentral:rRNA from 1 species
CCUACGGGAGGCAGCAGUGGGGAAUAUUGGACAAUGGGGGCAACCCUGAUCCAGCCAUGCCGCGUGUGUGAAGAAGGCCCUCGGGUUGUAAAGCUCUUUCAGUGAGGAAGAACGCCUGGUGGUUAAUACCCAUCAGGAAAGACAUCACUCACAGAAGAAGCACCGGCUAACUCCGUGCCAGCAGCCGCGGUAAUACGGAGGGUGCGAGCGUUAAUCGGAAUUACUGGGCGUAAAGCGCGCGUAGGUGGCUUGAUAAGCCGGUUGUGAAAGCCCCGGGCUCAACCUGGGAACGGCAUCCGGAACUGUCAAGCUAGAGUGCAGGAGAGGAAGGUAGAAUUCCCGGUGUAGCGGUGAAAUGCGUAGAGAUCGGGAGGAAUACCAGUGGCGAAGGCGGCCUUCUGGACUGACACUGACACUGAGGUGCGAAAGCGUGGGUAGCAAACAGGAUUAGAUACCCGAGUAGUC